rnacentral:rRNA from 1 species
GGGUUGUGAGGUUAAGCGACUAAGCGUACACGGUGGAUGCCCUGGCAGUCAGAGGCGAUGAAGGGCGUGCUAAUCUGCGAUAAGCGCCGGUAAGGUGAUAUGAACCGUUAUAACCGGCGAUACCCGAAUGGGGAAACCCAGUGUGACUCGUCACACUAUCAUUAACUGAAUCCAUAGGUUAAUGAGGCGAACCGGGGGAACUGAAACAUCUAAGUACCCCGAGGAAAAGAAAUCAACCGAGAUUCCCCCAGUAGCGGCGAGCGAACGGGGAGGAGCCCAGAGCCUGAAUCAGCAUGUGUGUUAGUGGAAGCGUCUGGAAAGGCGCGCGAUACAGGGUGACAGCCCCGUACACAAAAGCGCAUGUGCUGUGAGCUCGAUGAGUAGGGCGGGACACGUGGUAUCCUGUCUGAAUAUGGGGGGACCAUCCUCCAAGGCUAAAUACUCCUGACUGACCGAUAGUGAACCAGUACCGUGAGGGAAAGGCGAAAAGAACCCCGGCGAGGGGAGUGAAAAAGAACCUGAAACCGUGUACGUACAAGCAGUGGGAGCACAGGUUUACCUGUGUGACUGCGUACCUUUUGUAUAAUGGGUCAGCGACUUAUAUUCUGUAGCAAGGUUAACCGAAUAGGGGAGCCGGAGGGAAACCGAGUCUUAACCGGGCGUUAAGUUGCAGGGUAUAGACCCGAAACCCGGUGAUCUAGCCAUGGGCAGGUUGAAGGUUGGGUAACACUAACUGGAGGACCGAACCGACUAAUGUUGAAAAAUUAGCGGAUGACCUGUGGCUGGGGGUGAAAGGCCAAUCAAACCGGGAGAUAGCUGGUUCUCCCCGAAAGCUAUUUAGGUAGCGCCUCGUGAAUUCAUCUCCGGGGGUAGAGCACUGUUUCGGCUAGGGGGCCAUCCCGGCUUACCAACCCGAUGCAAACUGCGAAUACCGGAGAAUGUUAUCACGGGAGACACACGGCGGGUGCUAACGUCCGUCGUGAAGAGGGAAACAACCCAGACCGCCAGCUAAGGUCCCAAAGUCAUGGUUAAGUGGGAAACGAUGUGGGAAGGCCCAGACAGCCAGGAUGUUGGCUUAGAAGCAGCCAUCAUUUAAAGAAAGCGUAAUAGCUCACUGGUCGAGUCGGCCUGCGCGGAAGAUGUAACGG